rnacentral:rRNA from 1 species
ACCGGCGGCCCGAGUGGUGGUCGUGAUAUUGGGUCUAAAGGGUCCGUAGCCGGUUUGGUCAGUCCUCCGGGAAAUCUGAUAGCUCAACUAUUAGGCUUUCGGGGGAGUACUGCCAGACUUGGAGCCGGGAGAGGUAAGAGGUACUACAGGGGUAGGAGUGAAAUCUUGUAAUCCCUGUGGGACCACCUGUGGCGAAGGCGUCUUACCAGAACGGGUUCGACGGUGAGGGACGAAAGCUGGGGGCACGAACCGGAUUAGAUACCCGGGUAGUCCCAGCCGUAAACGAUGCUCGCUAGGUGUCAGGCAUGGCGCGACCGUGUCUGGUGCCGCAGGGAAGCCGUGAAGCGAGCCACCUGGGAAGUACGGCCGCAAGGCUGAAACUUAAAGGAAUUGGCGGGGGAGCACAACAACGGGUGGAGCCUGCGGUUUAAUUGGACUCAACGCCGGACAACUCACCGGGGGCGACAGCAAUAUGUAGGCCAAGCUGAAGACUUUGCCUGAAUCGCUGAGAGGAGUGGUGCAUGG